UUUGGAAAAGAUACCGUGUACUGUGGAUGCAAAUAGGGGAACGGGCAAGUGUGGUCGGAGAGUCAUUGUCGAAGAUGUGUAGGAGGCGUAGUUAAUGUCGGAAAUUGUGAGAAGCUCUCACUCUCUCAUAAUCAAUGGUGUCUCCACAAUUUCCAUAUCUGGGAAACACUGGUCCAAGUUCUCUCUCUCUCUCUCUCUCUCUCUCGAAUCACACGCAAAAACAAAAGAAUCGUCCGUUGUUGCGAAUAAUAGUCUGUAUGAAUCGCAUGUCUUGAAUAUCAUCUUCCAUGUUAAUUACGCGUUUAUGUUUUGAUUUCGUGUUGACAAAGACAAGUUUGAUAAAAAAAAAUAAAAGGAGGACAAAGGCUAGAGUCUCUGUUCUUUCCUCUUAAAAAUAAUAUUUUUUCAUGCACUCCUGCACUUGAUUAAUGUACUGAGUCUUGUCAUCUAUGAUUCUGCUAGAAAACUGUCACUAAAUAUUUGUUCUUUUUUGUUGUUUAUUGCUUGUACGCUCUCGCACUUAUUUUUUCUGGUGGUUUACAUUAAUAUAUUUGAGUUUUGGCUUGUUCUCAUGUUUUUGUUGAAAAUUUGCCAUUAAAGCUUCGAUCUUUCCUUUGUUUAUGGCCUGUACAGGACCUUCAUGAGCCGAGUAAUGGGUAUGCUAUCCUUUUUCCUACUAUAAUUUAUGCUAGCUAGUAGCUACUGGGUCAUAUGUCUACAGUAGAUGUGUAUAACUUGUUUCUCUGUUUUUCUAUAUUUGAGUGUGGAAUGUUUAUGUUGAAAUACAUGGAAUUCUACGGCAGAGGUCCGAAUCUUUGUUUCAUUCAGGGUGUUAACUAGACAAAAAAUGAUCAGAAGAUCAGCCGGCUAAAACGUAUAUAUGUAGUGUGAGCCUUUGUGGAUAUCUGUUCAGAAGACGAGAGUUGGUAAAGGGCCCGAGUCGUCUUCUUCUUAGUUGUUACCAUGAGUUUUGGAAAUUACUUUCACUUUUUAAUGAUGUAAUUUUGUAAAGAGCAACUGGUGCCAAAACCAGCUAAUAGAUUUUUUUUGUUAUA